UACAGAGGUCCCAAGCGUUGUUCGGAUUCACUGGGCGUAAAGGGUGCGUAGGUGGUGAGGUAAGUCGGAUGUGAAAUCUCCAGGCUCAACCUGGAAAUGGCAUCGGAAACUGCCUUGCUCGAGGUUUGGAGGGGGGGCUGGAAUACUUGGUGUAGCAGUGAAAUGCGUAGAUAUCAAGUGGAACACCAGUGGCGAAGGCGAGUCCCUGGACAAAACCUGACACUGAGGCACGAAAGCUAGGGGAGCAAACAGG
rnacentral:rRNA from 1 species